ensembl:lncRNA
CACACAGACUUUACUCUGAAUAAACGGGCACUGCUCUGUGUUUAACUGCUGUGACACACGUCCCUUCGAUGGCACACCCUUAACACACACAGGCACGGUCACGUGCUUCUCCUCGAUGCAUGAAGACUCACUGCAGUCCUCACACCAACAUCCCCUCCUCGGCACACUCAGGUGUGUUGUUGUGGGAGAAGAUAAGCAGGCUGACGGCUGAUAACAUCACUACUGUCAUGCAGAUGAGCACUCAGCUGUUGUGUGUAAAGAACAGGGGCGUUUGUGUGCACACUCAUGUGAGAGGGUGAUGGGGACUGAGGGCCUUUGUCGUGUCAAGGAAGUCAAUUGUCAGGAGGCACUGAAGCAGAAUCCGUCCUGUUAAUUGCUGGAGCAAUGAGGUGGGGGUGCUGCACUGUCCACCCAACCGUUGGAGUCGGAUAAGCUGUAAUUAAAAAAACGUUCUCUCACUUAUUCCUAAUAUUUGGAGAUAUGUCUUUGCCUUGAUCAUCUUCUAAAUCCAUGUCAACCUGUGCGAAUUAGCACAAAGUAGAACGAAGGCUGUGAGAAUGUAAUUAUAGACAAAAUGUUCAUCAGCAUUUAUCUUUUGAGCUGAUGGCUGUAGAGGACAAAUCGCCAAACAACUGUCUUGAGGAGGAUGUGAGUGUCGGGAAAGAACUUGCAGUGUU